AUUCAGCUGAUGAGUCCCAAAUAAGAUGAAACGCAUGUCCUAAGU
rnacentral:hammerhead_ribozyme from 1 species